rnacentral:rRNA from 1 species
AACGAACGCUGGCGGCAGGCCUAACACAUGCAAGUCGAGCGCCCUUUCGGGGGAGCGGCGGACGGGUGAGUAACGCGUGGGAAUAUGCCCUUCUCUACGGAAUAGCCUCGGGAAACUGAGAGUAAUACCGUAUACGCCCUGUGGGGGAAAGAUUUAUCGGGGAAGGAUUAGCCCGCGUUGGAUUAGGUAGUUGGUGGGGUAAUGGCCUACCAAGCCGACGAUCCAUAGCUGGUUUGAGAGGAUGAUCAGCCACACUGGGACUGAGACACGGCCCAGACUCCUACGGGAGGCAGCAGUGGGGAAUCUUAGACAAUGGGGGCAACCCUGAUCUAGCCAUGCCGCGUGAGUGAUGAAGGCCUUAGGGUUGUAAAGCUCUUUCAGCUGGGAAGAUAAUGACGGUACCAGCAGAAGAAGCCCCGGCUAACUACGUG